rnacentral:lncRNA from 1 species
AUGCCACGCGUUCCUGACUACGCAUCGCUCUCUGCUGGUUCUUCUCCUCAGUUCUCUGCACGGAACGGGGGACGGUGCUUCCUGGUGACGUUAGUUUGCCAGCACUGCCGUAACAACAUACCCCAGCCUGCGGACCUGAACAGGGGUCUUCGCUUCCCAUGGCUCCGGAGGCUCAAGGUGUGGGAUCCAGAUGUGGGCAUGGCUGGUUCCGCAGAGGCCUCUCCCUGCGCGGCGUCGGCUCCCUGUGCCUGUCUGUGUCCUGAUCGCCGCUUCGUGCGAGGACCGCGGUCGCGUUGGAUUGGGACCCUCCCCCAGGAUCGCAUUUAACUGCCAUCGCUUCUUUACAGCCCCUGUCUUCCCUGGGGCGGAGGCCUUCCGCCUGCAGCCGAGGGGCCACCGUCAGGCUCCUAGCACCCUCCAAGAGUGACUGCCCACGUGACCCGUGCCUGCUCUCCUCAGUCUCCCACCCGCUCUGUGCAAGGCAAGGGGCUCCGAAAGGCAGCUGCGUGUGCAAGCCAAGGCCGAAGUUUCUCCCUGACAUCCCAGCUGCGUGUCAGGAAUAACGAGGAAUAACGCCGAGGGGUCUGCAGCGGCUCCUGCUGAAAUGUGGUCCGUGGGGCCCCCGGCAACAUCGCGCCGUCCGUCUACACCACUGUUUCCCAUAGCCCUUGAUCCCAUGCCCACUUUGUGUGGUUAAGCAGUUCGUGUGGGUCUAUCUUGCCCCCUCAAGUGAUGCUUUCUUGCUGGCAGGGGACGCGUCUUGUCCCGGUGUGGAUCUCUCGGGCCGGUCCUCGUUGAGGACGCUGCUCCUGGUUACUUGUUGAACAAGACGGGAUGAAAUUCCCCGCCAACCCUCAGGGAAUUUCUCUGAAAGCUCCGUGUUCUCCUCUUUGAACCCGAAAUCCCCUCUGUCUUCUGCAGCGUUCGGUGGUAGUUUGGGACACUUACACAGCUUACUUGCGACAACAAAUAGCAGUUGGGGGAGCAGGCGAUGAUGGGGGGGUCCCCCCCACCGUUCCCGCCCACAUUAGGGACCUCUCAUGAGCCUCGACUUCAUGGCCUGAUUCUGGGUUGGGCAUCCGUCACCGCCUAAUACAUUUAUGUGCAUUAAAUACUUCAUGUUAUUCGGGCCAAUAUUAUUCCAUCUUUAGAUUUGAAUUUAGCCUCCAUAAAGGGGAUUGAAGUUGGCGGCCUUUCUCAGAAAUGGAAAGAUUCUUUAGGCAGCAAAGGCUGCUGAGCCCCAUGCACCAGGCAAUGGAGAAUCCCAGACAAAGACGAAACAGAGCAAGCCAUGGCUUCACAGAGCUUAGACUGGGGGAGAGAGGCAGUCGACAAGCAGAAAACUAAAUGGUAUGCAGUGCUGGGCAGGGGAAUGAGGCGGCGGGAUGGGGACGGCCCAGGUCCCUAGGGGCAUCCCCAAGGUAACCCCUAGCAGAGACAGGAGGCAGUGGAUGGAGGGAGCUUCCAAGGUAUUUCAGGGCCCAGCUCCCAGCAGCCAGCACAGGAGCCAGGAGGCCAGAGGUUGGCACAAACACAAAGUGCCUCAGAAAUGCCAGAGACCACUGUGGCUGCAGUUCUGGGGAGGGCCAUGGCGGUGCAUUGUGGAGGGGGGCCCCACCCCGGAGAGCUCUAGCCGCAGAAAGAACUGGAAGGACCAGAGCCUGCUGUGACCCAUUGGGUUCUCCCUGGGACGACAGGCUGCAGGAGGUUGGGGAGGAGAAGGCUCAGAGAGAGGCUGGGGAAGUGUUCCCUGCCCGGAGGGAGGCGGGGGCGAGAGGAAGGAGAUCUCUCAUCUGCCCAGGCUGUCCCCGUGGGAGAAAGCUUUGCUUCAGCUUGGAGAGCUGAGUUUCAUGGCACAGACCCAGUCACCACAAGGCUCUCUCCCCAGUAGUGACCUGGUGCAGCUGCUCCUGUAGGUAAUGAGGACACCCGUGUCUCUUCUCGAAGAGCUUCUCAUUUUGGAAAAGCAUGAAAACCACGGCAGUCUGCACGGGUGCAUUUACUGUAGCAGUCUUCUCACCAAAACACACUGGGGUAUCACAGUUCUGUGCUCCAGAUCCGUGCGCCCUGAUCUGACUUACGCAGGGGAAUUGCUUCAGCGUCUGGAUUAGACCACACUUGUUUGUCUACAUCUGGAGACAAUCACGAUGAAAUCUAUUUCUUUUAUUUUCAGGUCAACAAGUUUGCAGGCCUCAGGGUGAAUUAUUCUCUGAGCCUUUUCGGUCUAAGCUUUUAACUUCAAAAUGUC